CCUACGGGGGGCAGCAGUGGGGAAUAUUGGACAAUGGGGGCAACCCUGAUCCAGCCAUGCCGCGUGUGUGAAGAAGGCCCUCGGGUUGUAAAGCACUUUCAGUGAGGAAGAACGCCUGGUGGUUAAUACCCAUCAGGAAAGACAUCACUCACAGAAGAAGCACCGGCUAACUCCGUGCCAGCAGCCGCGGUAAUACGGAGGGUGCGAGCGUUAAUCGGAAUUACUGGGCGUAAAGCGCGCGUAGGUGGCUUGAUAAGCCGGUUGUGAAAGCCCCGGGCUCAACCUGGGAACGGCAUCCGGAACUGGCAAGCUAGAGUGCAGGAGAGGAAGGUAGAAUUCCCGGUGUAGCGGUGAAAUGCGUAGAGAGCGGGAGGAAUACCAGUGGCGAAGGCGGCCUUCUGGACUGACACUGACACUGAGGUGCGAAAGCGUGGGUAGCAAACAGGAUUAGAUACCCCAGUAGUC
rnacentral:rRNA from 1 species